rnacentral:rRNA from 1 species
GACGUAGGGCGCGAGCGUUGUCCGGAUUUAUUGGGCGUAAAGAGCUCGUAGGCGGCUUGUCGCGUCGACUGUGAAAUCCCGCGGCUCAACUGCGGGUCUGCAGUCGAUACGGGCAGGCUAGAGUUCGGUAGGGGAGACUGGAAUUCCUGGUGUAGCGGUGAAAUGCGCAGAUAUCGGAAGGAACACCGGUGGCGAAAGCGGCGCGCUGGAUCCCUACUGACGCUGAGGCACGAAAGCCAGGGGAGCAAACGGG